rnacentral:rRNA from 1 species
CACCUUUCGAAAAGCGUCACAGCUUAAUAACUCUUAACGACAAUACCACAAAAUAUUAAAAACCCUUCAUUAGUACCGAAUUCUUCUAUAUGCCUAUAGAACUACUUAUGUUAAGACUAGUAGCAAGAAGCACCCUUCUCUUUUAAUGUAAGUGUAAACAAUACACCCAUUGUGACCUAACACGCGAACAAAAUGUAGCAACCCCACAAGAAAAUCCUACCUUACCUGCUGUUAACCUUACACCAGAACAUUCCAAGAAAGAUCCCAGGAGAAAGAAGGAACUCGGCAAACCACGAUUCCGCCUGUUUACCAAAAACAUCGCCUCUUGCAUAAUAUAAGAGGUCCUGUCUGCCCAGUGACUCUGUUCAACGGCCGCGGUAUUCUGACCGUGCAAAGGUAGCGCAAUCACUUGUUUUCUAAUUAAAGACCUGUAUGAAAGACCCCACGAGAAUCACACUGUCUCCUUUCUCCCAUCAACGAAACUAAUCUCCUCGUGAAAAAGCGAGAAUAUACAUAUAAGACGAAAAGACCCUGUGGAGCUUUAAACAAACUAACAACUAACUUACUUUCUACUAGCAUAGACCUGAUUAUAGGUUUUUGGUUGGGGCGACCAUGGAGCAAAACCAAACCUCCAAGAUGACAAAGGACCUCCUUUAACAUAAAAAUACAAUUUCAUGUACCAGUAUACUGACAUAAUUGACCCUUCUUGAUCAACGAACCAAGUUAC